UUGCCUCAGUAACGGCGAGUGAAGCGGCAACAGCUCAAAUUUGAAAUCUGGCUCUUCUGGAGUCCGAGUUGUAAUUUGCAGAGGGUGCUUUGGUGUUGGCAGCGGCCUAAGUUCCUUGGAACAGGGCGUCAUAGAGGGUGAGAACCCCGUACGUGGCCGCCCGCCUUCACCGUGUAAAGCCCCUUCGACGAGUCGAGUUGUUUGGGAAUGCAGCUCUAAAUGGGAGGUAAAUUCCUUCUAAAGCUAAAUACUGGCCAGAGACCGAUAGCGCACAAGUAGAGUGAUCGAAAGAUGAAAAGCACUUUGGAAAGAGAGUCAAACAGCACGUGAAAUUGUUGAAAGGGAAGCGCUUGCAGCCAGACUUGCCCGCGGUCGUUCUUCUUCCGCGGGCAGGCCAGCAUCAGUCUGGGCGGUCGGAUAAAGGCCUCGGGAAUGUAGCUCUCUUCGGGGAGUGUUAUAGCCCGGGGCGCCAUGCGGCCAGCUCGGACUGAGGUCCGCGCAUCUGCUAGGAUGCUGGCGUAAUGGCUGUAAGCGGCCCGUCUUGAAACACGGACCAAGGAGUCUAACAUCUAUGCGAGUGUUUGGGUGUCAAGCCCGGGCGCGCAAUGAAAGUGAACGGAGGUGGGAACCCCUCGGGGUGCACCAUCGACCGAUCCUGAUGUCUUCGGAUGGAUUUGAGUAAGAGCAUAGCUGUUGGGACCCGAAAGAUGGUGAACUAUGCCUGAAUAGGGUGAAGCCAGAGGAAACUCUGGUGGAGGCUCGCAGCGGUUCUGACGUGCAAAUCGAUCGUCAAAUUUGGGCAUA
rnacentral:rRNA from 1 species